rnacentral:misc_RNA from 1 species
GGACUAGUUGUAGAAUUCGGUGAGAAAGUGUUCGACAUGUCAAUUAAGACCAGAGCACGACAGAUGGAGAGGUUCUUGCGAGAACCUGCAAACCUCCACAGCCUCUGAAAAGAGCCAUUUUUAUCUUCUGGGGACACCAUCUUCCUGCUUUAAGCUACCAUUUUUCAUCCAUGAAAGAGAACUUUGGAAUUUUCCUCCCUUUUGUUUUUG